CUGGAGGUAUCAGAAGUGCGAAUGCUGACAUAAGUAACGAUAAAGCGGGUGAAAAGCCCGCUCGCCGGAAGACCAAGGGUUCCUGUCCAACGUUAAUCGGGGCAGGGUGAGUCGACCCCUAAGGCGAGGCCGAAAGGCGUAGUCGAUGGGAAACAGGUUAAUAUUCCUGUACUUGGUGUUACUGCGAAGGGGGGACGGAGAAGGCUAUGUUGGCCGGGCGACGGUUGUCCCGGUUUAAGCGUGUAGGCUGGUUUUCCAGGCAAAUCCGGAAAAUCAAGGCUGAGGCGUGAUGACGAGGCACUACGGUGCUGAAGCAACAAAUGCCCUGCUUCCAGGAAAAGCCUCUAAGCAUCAGGUAACAUCAAAUCGUACCCCAAACCGACACAGGUGGUCAGGUAGAGAAUACCAAGGCGCUUGAGAGAACUCGGGUGAAGGAACUAGGCAAAAUGGUGCCGUAACUUCGGGAGAAGGCACGCUGAUAUGUAGGUGAAGCGACUUGCUCGUGGAGCUGAAAUCAGUCGAAGAUAC
rnacentral:rRNA from 1 species